GAGAAGUUAAUUAAUGGCUCAACCGAAUCUCGAUCACUUCACAUCUCAGAUCAAGAAAGCUAAUGGCUCAACCGGAUCAAGAAAGCGUGAGAUAGAUCGAGGAGGAUCUAUGUCAAGGAGAGGCGCGUGAGGAGGACCUGUUGUUUUGCCGCCCUUCUCUUCCUUUUCCCAUGCGGUCCUUCUCUCCCCCUUGCAGUUCCUUCUCUUCCCCCCGAAAAUCCUUC
rnacentral:lncRNA from 1 species